UAAAACAGCAUCUAAAAGCUGCACUGAAUGAAGGAUCUGACACAAAUGAUGAUCCAGAAUGGGACAGCGACAUGGCUUCUCUACUCGUCUUGCCGCAUCUUCUCUCUCCUGGAAGAAAGCGGCCCGAAAAGAUCAGAGGCAAGAGAUCAUGUGGUGAAAUUUCAUAAGUCAUGCCAAAGCCUUGAUGAUCAUCUUCUAACCACUGAAGGAAACCCUCAGCCAUAUCUUCUUGCCCCAGGGACUUCAAAAGCACAGGAUUUCACCUUUUACAUUGUCUUGGACAAAUAACUUUUGCCUUGUCAGUCCUGUACAUCCUUGGGUGCUUUUAAUUAGCUGUUCAAGUCCCAUUUUGUUUUCAGUGUGAGGUAUGCAGACAACUGUGUACAUUAUUUAUAUAGGUACAACUGAAGAAACUCCAAAUGUCAGAGAGCUGAGAGCAAGGCUGUUAAAAAAGCAGUUUUUGUGUUAUUCAACCAAAAUGUUAAGCUGUUUCCUCUGUGCUUCAUCCUUUGGUUCAGCGUUGAUUUUGUUCAGGCACCUGAAACUAACUCAUGGAAUGGAUCCAGGGAAAGAAUUAAGAUUAAAUGUGUUC